GCUUUCUUUGGCAACACACAUACUAAAUUUGGAACAAUACAGAGAUUAGCAUGGCCUCUUGCAAAAGGAUGACUCACAAAUUCAUGAAGCAUUCUAUAUUUUU